UAACGCGUGGGUAACCUGCCCUAUACACAUGGAUAACAUACUGAAAAGUUUACUAAUACAUGAUAAUAUAUAUUUACGGCAUCGUAGAUAUAUCAAAGUGUUAGCGGUAUAGGAUGGACCCGCGUCUGAUUAGCUAGUUGGUGAGAUAACUGCCCACCAAGGCGACGAUCAGUAGCCGACCUGAGAGGGUGAUCGGCCACAUUGGAACUGAGACACGGUCCAAACUCCUACGGGAGGCAGCAGUG
rnacentral:rRNA from 1 species